rnacentral:tRNA from 1 species
GAGGUUAUAGCACAGUGGUAGAGUGUGUGCUUAGCAGGCACCAAGUCCUGGGUUCAAUCCCCAGUACCUCCA